CAGGGGCAAACAGACAUGGCGUUAACUAGUUCAGGUUCAGACAGGAAAUCCAGGUCUGUAUAGGCAUCAGGAUCUGAGAGGGUUGGAACAUUUUGCAGGUUGUUAUUCUUUGAGAAAGCAGUGGAGGCAAGGAGGCGAGAAGGGGAUGCAGCUCUGGCCUUAAGAGUUUGCUCAAAGACCUUUAGAUCUUGCCUGCGGACCACAGUUCCAUUGGAGGCAAUUACACAGUCUGGGGACAGAUCCUCUGUGUUAGAGCAGGAAACUUUAGGGGAGACUGAAGAUGAGGAUUGGAAGGUAGCCACAGCUGCCUCCUUUUGAGGCUCUGGAACAGGAGCAGGUUUAGCCAGGGCUGUGAUGGUGCCAUUGGUCUGGUUAGGUGGUCUUUGUGGUCCAGUAGCAUGCAGAGUUGAACAAAAAAGGGGCCAUGAUGGACUUGUAGGAUGGUGACACAGAGUCCCCACAUGGCUAUGUUUAGGGAGAGGAG